CUGUGUGUUGUUUUGCCAGGAACAGAAAAGGAAUGGAGUCUUAGAACUUAGUAAGUAAUCUAGCUAGAUAUGCGUUAGAUUCUGUUUUGUUUAAAUGGCUGAUAAAAUAAGCUGUGCUGAAUAGAAUGUAUAUUCCUGUUUUUGUGUCUUUUUGUAACUUAAGGUUUUGCCUAGAGGGAUUCUCUAUGUUUUGAAUCUGAUUACCCUGUAAGGUAUUUACCAUCCUGAUUUUAUAGAGGUGAUUCUUUUACUUUUUCUUUAAUUAAAAUUCUUCUUUUAAGAA